rnacentral:tRNA from 1 species
GCCUGGGUGGCUCAGUUGGUUAAGCAUCCGACUUUGGCUCAGGUCAUGAUCUCAUGGUUUGUGGGUUCGAGCCCCGCGUCGGGCU